rnacentral:rRNA from 1 species
UACGGAGGGUGCAAACGUUGCUCGGAAUCAUUGGGCGUAAAGCGCACGUAGGCGGUCCCGCAAGUCGGAUGUGAAAGCCCUCGGCUUAACCGAGGAAGGGCAUUCGAAACUGCGAGACUUGAAUAUGGAAGAGGGUCGCGGAAUUCCCGGUGUAGAGGUGAAAUUCGUAGAUAUCAGGAGGAACACCGGUGGCGAAGGCGGGUCUCUGGGCCGUAACUGACGCUGAGGAGCGAAAGCGUGGGGAGCGAACAGG